GUUGGAGUCCACGAGGACCAGCCCUCUGCCACACACAGAUCUGAGAGCUCACACUGUCCAUAGUCAGAGGUGAGCUUGGGCCGGGCUUUCCUGGUGAUCAGGGUGGUGUCCGUGCACAUCCCCCAGCACAGCUGGGAAGCAGGACCCAAGUGCUCAUCAUGAAUCUGACCUUCGCCCCCACUGCCGCCGUCAUCCCAGGGACACAGCAGUUACUGCAGCACUCAUCCUCCUAACAGGGUCUCCCCCCAGCAGCCCU
rnacentral:lncRNA from 1 species